UCAUAAACAACCAGGAUGUUGGCUCAGAAGCAGCCACCAUUUAAAGAGUGCGUAAUAGCUCACUGGUCGAGAGACGCUGCGCCGAAAAUGUCCGGGGCUCAAGCACGGAACCGAAGCUAUGGCAUGAUAGCAAUAUCAUGGGUAGGGGAGCGUUCUUAUAAGGAAGAAGCAUGACCGGAAGGACAUGUGGACAAAUAAGAAGUGAGAAUGCCGGUAUGAGUAUCGAAAAGAAAGGUGAGAAUCCUUUCCACCGAAAGCCCGAGGGUUCCUGAGCAACGAUCGUCGACUCAGGGUAAGUCGGGACCUAAGCCGAGGCGAGAAGCGUAGGCGAUGGACAACAGGUUGAAAUUCCUGUACCGGAUCAAGUCGAUCGAGCGAAGGAGCGACGCAGGAGGGCACAUGAUCGCGCGGCUGGAAGAGCGCGUCCAAGUGCGUAUGUUGCAGCAGAGGAAAACCCCUGCAGCUAAAAGCAGAGACAUGAUGGGGAGUUAAAGGAAACUUUGACGAACUCAUGGAUCCCACACUGCCAAGAAAAACUUCUAGCGAGACAAGAUCCGCCCGUACCGUAAACCGACACAGGUAGGCGGGGAGAGAAUCCUAAGGUGCGCGGGAAAACCCUCGUUAAGGAACUCGGCAAAUUGCAUCCGUAACCUAGGGAGAAGGAUGGCCCCCGGUCAGUGAAGAGCAGAAACGCUCAGAGCUAAAAGGGGCGGCAGAAAAGAGGCCCAAGCAACUGUUUACCAAAAACACAGGUGCCUGCGAAAGCGAAAGCUGAAGUAUAGGUGCUGACGCCUGCCCGGUGCCGGAAGGUUAAGGAGAGAAGUUAGCGAAAGCGAAGCAUCGAACUGAAGCCCCGGUGAACGGCGGCCGUAACUAUAACGGUCCUAAGGUAGCGAAAUUCCUUGUCGGGUAAGUUCCGACCCGCAUGAAAGGCGUAAUGAUUUGGGCACUGUCUCAACGAGGGGCCCGGUGAAAUUGAAAUACCUGUGAAGAUGCAGGUUACCCGCGACUGGACAGAAAGACCCCAUGGAGCUUCACUGCAGCUUGAGAUUGAAUCCCGGUGACAGAUGCACAGGAUAGGUGGGAGGCGUCGAAGCAUUGCCCUAGGGCGGUGCGGAGCCGAUGUUGGGAUACCACCCUUCUGUUGCUGAGAUUCUAACGCGAGGAGUAACGACCCUGCGGACCCUCUCAGGCAGGCGGUUUGACUGGGGCGGUCGCCUCCGAAAGAGUAACGGAGGCGCCCAAAGGUUCCCUCAGGCCGGACAGAAACCGGCCGAAGAGUGCAAAGGCAGAAGGGAGCUUGACUGCGAGACCAACAAGUCGAGCAGAGACGAAAGUCGGGCUUAGUGAUCCGGUGGUACUGGGUGGAAAGGCCAUCGCUCAACGGAUAAAAGCUACCCUGGGGAUAACAGGCUAAUCUCUCCCAAGAGUUCAUAUCGACGGGGAGGUUUGGCACCUCGAUGUCGGCUCAUCACAUCCUGGGGCUGGAG
rnacentral:rRNA from 1 species